UACGAAGGGGGCUAGUGUUGUUCGGAUUUACUGGGCGUAAAGCGCACGUAGGCGGAUCGUUAAGUCGGGGGUGAAAUCCUGGAGCUCAACUCCAGAACUGCCUUCGAUACUGGCGAUCUUGAGUCCGGAAGAGGUGAGUGGAACUCCUAGUGUAGAGGUGGAAUUCGUAGAUAUUAGGAAGAACACCAGUGGCGAAGGCGGCUCACUGGUCCGGUACUGACGCUGAGGUGCGAAAGCGUGGGGAGCAAACAGG
rnacentral:rRNA from 1 species